rnacentral:lncRNA from 1 species
CCCCGCGAGAUGGCGCUGAGGGAGAGGCCGAGGCGGGAGAGCAGCAGCCCCUCAGGGACGGGACCCUCUAGGGCGGGCCCAGACCUCGUCCUACAGAGACAGGAUCUCCUCUAUCCUGUCCCCUCUGUAAAAGGACCCCCGUUCCCUUGGUGUGGGGCACAAAGUUCUCUCAGUGACCGGAUCCUCAUUCCCUCAGCGGCCUGCCAGGAUCUCUGUGCUUGCCUUUGCCUCCUCCCCUCCUGUGGCCCUUGCAGACCAAGGUCCCAGAUCUCCAACCAACAUGAGAGGAGCCUUCAAUGGGAAAAAUAAAGCCUCUUAAAAAGCUCUUCUCUUUCCUAUCUCUUUGUUUUUGUGUCAUCAUAGAACCAUAGAAUGGUUUGGGUUGGAAGAAACCUUCAAGAUCUUCUUGCUCUAAACCCCCUGCCAUAGGCAAGGACAUUUUCCACUACCACAGGUUGCUCAGGGCCCCAUCCAGCCUGGCCUUGAACACCUCCAGGGAUGGGGCAG